rnacentral:tRNA from 1 species
GCCCAUGGCUCAGUGGUCAGAGCAUCAGCCACUUACACUGAGGUAGGCUGGUUUGAACCCAGCCUGGGCC